UACGAAGGGGGCUAGCGUUGCUCGGAAUCACUGGGCGUAAAGGGUGCGUAGGCGGGUCUUUUAAGUCAGGGGUGAAAUCCUGGAGCUCAACUCCAGAACUGCCUUUGAUACUGGCGAUCUUGAGUCCGGAAGAGGUGAGUGGAACUGCGAGUGUAGAGGUGAAAUUCGUAGAUAUUCGGAAGAACACCAGUGGCGAAGGCGACAUACUGGUCCGUUACUGACGCUGAGGCUCGAAAGCGUGGGGAGCAAACAGG
rnacentral:rRNA from 1 species